rnacentral:rRNA from 1 species
GUCCACGCCGUAAACGAUGAGUACUAAGUGUUGGGGGAAACCUCAGUGCUGUAGUUAACGCAAUAAGUACUCCGCCUGAGUAGUACGUACGCAAGUAUGAAACUUAAAGGAAUUGACGGGACCCCGCACAAGCGGUGGAUCAUGUUGUUUAAUUCGAAGAUACGCGAAAACCUUACCAGGUCUUGACAUACUCUGCAAUGGCUUAGAGAUAAGUUCGGAGGUUAACAGAGAUACAGGUGGUGCAUGGUUGUCGU